GAUGAACGCUAGCUACAGGCCUAACACAUGCAAGUCGAGGGACCGGCGCACGGGUGAGUAACACGUAUCCAACCUGCACUUUACUCGGGGACAGCUUUUCGAAAGAAAGAUUAAUACCCGAAACAAAGUAUGGGGAUGCGUUCCAUUAGGUUGUUGGUGAGGUAACGGCCCACCAAGCCUUCGGUGGAUAGGGGUUCUGAGAGGGAGGUCCCCCAAGUCUGAGCGAAGACACAGUCCAAACUCGUACGAGAGACUGGGGUGAAGGAUAUUGGUCAAUGUGCGGUAGCCUAAACCGGCCAAGUAGCGUGAAGAGUGAAGGCUUAUGGGACAUAAACUUCUUUUAUAUAAGAAUCUGUAUUAUAUGAAUAAGGAUCGGCUAACUCCGUGCCAGCAGCCGCGGUAAUAC
rnacentral:rRNA from 1 species